GCAGUCGCCGCGGGAAUACGUAGGUCCCGAGCGUUGUCCGGAUUUAUUGGGCGUAAAGCGAGCGCAGGCGGUUAGAUAAGUCUGAAGUUAAAGGCUGUGGCUUAACCAUAGUACGCUUUGGAAACUGUUUAACUUGAGUGCAAGAGGGGAGAGUGGAAUUCCAUGUGUAGCGGUGAAAUGCGUAGAUAUAUGGAGGAACACCGGUGGCGAAAGCGGCUCUCUGGCAUGUAACUGACGCUGAGGCUCGAAAGCGUGGGGAGCAAACAGGAUUAGAUACCCCGGUAGUCCCUGUCUCUUAUACA
rnacentral:rRNA from 1 species